AUAUAUCUAUCCUUAUGGAAGUACCACACUGUCUUGAUUACAGUCUGUUUUGAAACAGGAAAAUAUGAGUGCUCUUGCUUUAUUCUUUUUGCCAAAGCAAAGAUUGCUUUGGCUUUCGAGGUCUCUUACAUUUCCAUAUAAAUUUUAGGAUCAGUUUUGUACAUUUGUGAAAAAAAAAAAUCCAUGUAACUGCAAGCCACAUUUUAUACUUUAUCUUCCUCUUCUUUCUUGAUAUAUAUUAAACUCAGAAUGUAUAUGUUAUUGGCAGGCAUGUAUGCUAUUCAGUGUGCUGUGUUAUUGGAUAAUGUUUCCAUAUUCAUUUUUAACCACACUGUCAUCAAACAUAAAUCUAAUUAUGGCUGUCAAAGAAGGAAAAACAAAAUAUCUGUAUUAUGGUCUUUCAAAGCUAUGGGAGCUUAAUAAUUUACCAAGUGUUGUGCUUCAAAGGCUUUCAUAUUGUUGAUGACUCGUUAUUGUAUACAAGCAGUUAAUCUUAUGUGCUUAAAGUCUAACAUUUGAGAUAAAAACUCAGUGGAUUUAUUGUUAAAUUUUAAUGAUUUAUUGCUGAAUGAUGAGAUGGGGAUUGCAUUCUGCUCUCAGGGAGCACUUUUUCAUAAAUAAUAUAUCAUAGUGAGAAAAGUAUGUCUACCAAUGAGAAUUCAUAUUGUACAUAAUUGAGACUCUUUUUUUUCUUCUAAACUAUAUUUUUCAGCAUUCCAAAGGGACCCAGAGUCCUAUGGUUUUGAAAAAUUACACAAUAGAGUGAUCGCUGGCUCUCACCAGCAAGCAACCCAAAAGAAGUAAGCAGAAGCCCCAUCAUUUUUGAAACCUGGCCUUAGCAAUCACAGAAUCACUUCUACAUCUAUACUACACACCCCACAUCUUAAACAAAACAAAACAAAACAAAAAAGCAAAAAAUUGUAUUAGAGUUCUCCAGAGAAACAGAGCCUAUACGGUGAUCUAUAUGGUGAGAGAGAGAGAGAGUUUUAAGGGAUUGGCUCAUGCAGACGUGGGGCUGACAAGUUUGCAAUCUGCGGUGCAGGGAGGCAGGAAUCUACAUUGCGGUUUUGAGUCUAAAGGUGGUCCAGAGAAGAAUUCUUUCAGAUUUAAAUCACAAGUUGCAAAUCCCCCAGGAGAAACAUAGCUCUAACCAUAUGAGAGAGAUUAUGAGUUCUUUUUGUGAUACAAUGGUAACACUAUCCAUUCAUGGACACUAGUGAAAAGUGGCUAUUUCACCAAAAAACCUUCAUAAGGCAAAUGGGACAGAGGAGGUAUAGAAACUACAUUAAAUUUAAGAUACUCCGAUUACCCAAUAAAAAAAAAAAUCAAAUCAAUUUAAUAGGAAAGGAAAAAUUUUCUCAGAAUGUAGAGGCAAAAAUGUGAUUUGAGAGUUAAAAGGAGAAGAUGGCAAACAUUUAUCAUUAAAAUGACUUUAGAGUUGUGGUUAAUACACUCAAACAUUAAAUAGAUUUAUAGAUUUAAUCUAAUUAAUUAACAAAACAACCUAGGAAAGGAUUACAGAAUGCCAUCUAAGCAUGUCAUGAGACAAAGGUGAAAGAACUCAGAGGUCAAGAUUUUAAAUCUAAUCUCAUAAAAUGAGUAUUAAUUUGGAAUCUCCCACUGCCAUCAUAAAAACUCAAAAAGAACG
ensembl:lncRNA